rnacentral:rRNA from 1 species
GACGAACGCUGGCGGCGUGCUUAACACAUGCAAGUCGAACGGAAAGGCCCUGCUUUUGUGGGGUGCUCGAGUGGCGAACGGGUGAGUAACACGUGAGUAACCUGCCCUUGACUUUGGGAUAACUUCAGGAAACUGGGGCUAAUACCGGAUAGGAGCUCCUGCUGCAUGGUGGGGGUUGGAAAGUUUCGGCGGUUGGGGAUGGACUCGCGGCUUAUCAGCUUGUUGGUGGGGUAGUGGCUUACCAAGGCUUUGACGGGUAGCCGGCCUGAGAGGGUGACCGGCAGCAGGGGGAAUGAGAGAACGGCGGGAGGCAGACGGGAGGCAGAAGGGGGGGUGAGGGAAGAAGGGGCGGAAGAAGGAUGCAGCAAUGCCGGGGGAGGGAGGAUGGGAGGAGGGUGGGAAAAAGCGGGCGCAGGCGAAGAAGGGGGAGGGAGGGGAAGGGGUAAAGAAGAACAGGAGAAUGAAGUG